GUAAGUAAGGGAAUCCCAGGAGGAUGACCAGUACUUCCAUUAAAAAAAUCAUUCAUUUUAUAAUAGCCACCUAUUAAUUAUUGCGUUCAAAAGAAAUAGGAUACAGCCCUUAAAUACGGGGGGAAAAACAAGCUUAUAAUUUGAAUUCAGCAGGCAGAUAGUGAAGAUCAGUUUCAACAAGAUGUCAGCAACUUAUGAUUGGGACAUUAGUGACGCUAUACUUCAACACAACGCAUGGGUUUACUCGCCGACUAAAUUUUUACUAAAAGGUGAUAAAGUUGCGUUUGAUUUGGGAUUACAAAUGGAUAUUGAUGUAAGCUCUCUUAAAGUCCUGGUUAGGAAAAAUGAUCCGAGAUCAGCGAAGGCUACGCUUGAAAUAGAGUUAAAGGCAAGAAACUUUUGGGAAUAUGAUGACGAUGAUCUUGAAAAUAACUUUUCAUUCUCAUUAAAGCGUCAUUUUGUGCCAUUUCAAAGCAAAUCUAUUAAAACAAGUGUAACUAGUGACUGGAAAGAGUUUUGUAUAUUCGAUGCUUUCACAAAUCUAAGCCGUAAAAAUCGUUGUAAUGUUAUAAAAGACAAGUGUUGCAUCAAAUAUACCACUAUUUCUUGUCGAAUUACUAAUUUCAGUUUUAACUCUUAAGAACUUACUCAAAUAAACCUUCUACCCUGCCCGAAAUCUUAUGUGCAGCAGAACUUCCGUCAAUUUCUAAAAGCAGAUGUAUUCAGCGACGUCGUUCUAGUAGUUGGUGAUCAAGAAUUACCUGCCCACAAAAUAAUUUUAUCAACUCACAGUCUAUUUUUUUAUAACAUGCUGACUACAAAGAUGAAAGAAGGUCUACAAAAUCGUAUUGAGAUUAAAAAUUUCUCAGCUGAUCUAAUUGCUGAAAUGUUGGAAUACUUUUACACCACAAAUUUACGUGUGCUAUGGGGAAAAAGUUCUAACUAUUGUUCAUGCUCAAAACAUUUUAUAAAAUAUAUUAAUCUACGUUUUCUACUUAAUCUAUUAUCUAUACUUUCAGGAAAAUAUUCUAAGCAUGUCGAUAAGCAUUGUUGAGAAAGUUCAUUUUUGUAUCUAUUCAUAGAAAUACAUUUUUCAAUAAAUAAAUAUUUUU